rnacentral:lncRNA from 1 species
CCUCUCUAACCUAAUAUUCGGCUGGGACUGGGUUUCAUCACACCCUGCAAGAGGCUCCCCACUGCUCCUGCCAACCCUUCCCCAGGAAAUGGCUUUAUUAUUUUAGGAGAGUUUGCAACCUAGAAAUGGGAAACAAGAUAGAAAAACAGAAACCAAAAUCCUGAAAUCUCCACUGACAUGGACACUGAGAUCUUGUCCUCUGGAUGACAUAGCCAUCACCCUCAGGCUAACCUGCCAUCUGUGAUGAGAAGACUCCCUGAUGAAGUUCUUCCCAACCAGCUUUCACCUAUGCCUCCCAAAAGGAGAGAUCUCCACUUCUCUCAGAAACGCUAUCUUUUGCAGAAUCAAGUGGCUUUUAAAGUGCGUCUUUCUCUCACCCCUGGCUUGAGUGUGAAUAUGAUUGCCACCAUCUUGGAUCCGAUGGAAGACACAGCACCUUGAGGAAAGUUGAACAAGAGAGAUUGCUGCUACUGUGGAUCUUCAAUGCCAGCUCCUUACUUCUUAUAUUUGGACAGGGACGUGAUUAAAU